UAAACUCAAUUUCUUGGGGGUUUUUUUUUUGAGUAUUCAGUCCCUGCCCAAGUGAUUUUAAGUGCCUCUAAGUCACUGCCAGACUUGAUUCAGUUCUUCUCAGACUUGAUCUUCUCCCAUGCUAUUUGUUUACGACAAGCCUGUUUCAGCCUCACACGUUCGCUCUGCCUGAAACAUUCUCAACUCUUAGCACAGUUAACUCCCACUCAUCUUCUGGAUCUCAGCUGAAAAGUUACAUCUUCAAGGAAUUUUUUCUACCCUCUAGCAAUGCCUGGUGAUUUCUACCUGCUUGGAACAUUCCACGGGUUUAUCCCAUGCUGAGGAGACUUUUAGGAACUGCAUGAACUCCACAGGGCAUUGAUGCGUAACUGAACCCUGGACGGGCCAAUCAAGACUCACAAGGAGUGGGUUUCAGGAAACCAAGAUGAUGUGUCCUCAGCCACCUGAAAAAAUACGCAGAAACUCAGGUUACAUCUGGAAUUCAUUCCGUGUUUUCUCUGUCCGUUCCUGAUCAGUUUUCUCACCGCCGUCUCCAAGAAAAUUAGGCGAUCUGGAAAUAGGUGUGCAGUGAACUGGGACAUUUUUGGAAAUCAAGGAAAAGCAGCAAUAGGGGAAGAGAUGGCAUCUUUGUUCUUGAUGGUCUUGCUCUGUAUGCUAUAGACCGAUGCUGCCUGAGAGAACAAGUGACCGAGAGGAGCAGAUGACUACCAGGCUCUAGAUACCUGGAAUCCAGAAAU
rnacentral:lncRNA from 1 species